GAUUAGCAAUGCUAAUCAUCUCCCACCCUAACAUACACACCACCAAGAUGCAGAGGAGUAAGAGAUUGGUGCUGCAGGGUCUGAAUGUGCAGGAAGCUGAAUUUAGUGUGCUAUGACAGGAAUCCAUGGGACAUAGUGCAAUGCUCAUGAUAUCUCCAUCUAUGUAAUUGCCAAGAGGCAAGAAGGCCUGGAACCUUGGGCAGAACUCAAUGGAACCUGGGACCAUAGUGCAGCAUCCUGAUGGGAUCCAUAGACCUCAAGCAUCUCAGGCUAUGGAGAAUGUAGCAGGCAAUGGUAAGCUCAGCACUCUACUCCAGCCACAUCAAGAUGCUUCAGAGCUAUACUCAGCAAACCUGUACGGAAUCGGGUGGGAUAUCCUGCAAGAGUAACAGGAGGGUAAUAACUGUGUCGUUACUCUUCACCACAGCCUCCUGAACGAAGCUCUCUGAAGAUGGACUGUGCUUUUUGUUCACUGAGUUUUCAAAAUGAGUAACUUUGGCAUGCACUGAAUAUAUGACUCAUUUUCUACUUCCUUUCCGUAUAUUUUCACUUCUAUUUGAAACAGCUUCUCACUAAUAUGCCAGGCUGACACUGAACUUGCUCUGUAACCCAGACAGCCUUUGAACUUGUGAUCUUCUUGCCUCAAACUCCUGAAUAGCUACAAUUACAGACAGGAACAUACUGAUCUUAAUUCUUAAAUCAUGUCUAGUGGAUUGGGUUAAGUAAUUAAUUAAGGGAAAAUAUAAAAAUAAAUAAAAUGUGAAGGCAAUAGUAUAAGAUGUGAUUAUACCAAUUAAUCAAUGCUUUUAAAGCAAACACAAUAACUAUAAAUGGAACUUAAAUUAGCAGUUAAAAUACAGAGAAUUUCAAAAUGAGCCAACACAAAUUAUUAACUCUAUGCAUUAAUGAAUUAUUGAGCUAAUUAGGAAUGUGGAACAACUUUAGGAAAUACGUGAAGAUUUAAUAUAUAAUGCUAGUCAAAAUAAAGUACAACUGUAUUACAACAACAAAUAUGGUUAAAAUGUUCUUGCAAAUAGCAUUACACUUUAAUUAUUUUUAAAUGUACCAAUUCAUAAAAUGGUUUAAAAUAGAACUUGUACAAAUCCAGCAAUAAUUUGAAAAUACAAACAAAAAUAAAAUUUGACAGAUCCACAUUCAUACUCAGAUAUAUAAAUACAUUUCUACUAUGAAUUUAUUUCUUAAUCAGAGAAGUAAAAAAAGAAAACAAACAAAGAAACAAAUUAGGACAAGAAAAAUUUGAGUUUCCUAUUUAUCUAGCUAAUUCAAUGGAAAUUCUACUAAGAAAAAAAUAGACAUAUGGGCAUCAUUACAUUAAAGGUAUUCUAUAAUUUUCUCUAAUUCUAUGAAAUCAAGACCAGCUUUCUAAAAGAUUUGAAAGUUUUAGUACACAUUGUAAAGUAUAUCAUGGUAAUGUAAAAAAAUCAAAACAAAAUUGUAGCACACUCAGAAAUAAAGAAUGCUGCUGAAGUCAUAUAGAAACAAAAGGCCGAAACCUGAGGAGAAAGACAAUCUAAGCUGUUCUCUAACACCAGAAGUUGGUGAACACAUACUAGAAUGAGUUCAAAGCAAAUCAAAAGACAAUUAUAAAAAACUAAUUAAAGUAUAAAAGGUAAGGGAAUGCUAGAUAAAGAAUAAUCAGCUAAAGAAAAAGUUUCUACUCCAUCCCCCGUGCCUGCAUUUCUUGUCAACUGGAUAAAUUUUGGGUCAAAGUUUUUUGGGUGGGCUGGUGUCUCUCUCGUUCUUCUGGAGUUCCUAACUGGAGGUGAUAUCUUCUGGUUUCAUAUCUCCAAUGCUAUGAGUCACCUCCAUUGAUUCUUGGGCACCUCCCUUAAAUUUAUCCUGUCAAUAAGAAAUACAGGGAAAGGGAAUGGAGCAGAGACUGAGGGAAUGGUCAACUAAUAACCUGGCCAACUUGAUAUUCAUCCCAUGGGCAAGAACCAAUCCCUGACACUAUUAAUGAUUCUCUGUUAUGCUUGCAGACAGGAGCCUAGCAUACUGUUCUAUGAGAGGCUCCACCCAGCAGCUGCCUCAGAUGUAUGUAGAAACUCACAAUCAAACAUUGGAUGGAGCUUGGGGACUCUUAUGGAAGGACAGGCAGAAGCAUUGAGGCACUAGGAACUCCACAGGAUGACCAAAAGAAUCAAUUAACCUGGACUCUUGGGGCUCUCAGAGACUGACCCACCAAACAAAAUCCGUGUCUUUAAUACAAUGCCUUGCCUAACUGGACUACGACUCAAGCUUCAGUCCACUCUCGUCUUCUUUUACCCUCAAUAAGCACGCUCAAGUCUCAGUUUCUUUAUCCUAAAGUUUGCCACAACAAAAUUGUAUCUGAAAUUAUGAAAUACAUUAUAUGGGAUCAAGCACUCGAAGAUAAAGUCUUAUUCAGUAGAUGAAAGAACGCCUAGAGGUAAAAACUGCUAUCCAGGUAGUGCCCUGACAACAGACCAAGGAAACAGUGCCACCCAAGUCUAGUAUGAUGAGCCAACAAGGCUGUUGAGGCUACUCCCAAGAACAUGGCUGACCCAGAGGCAGCUGAACCACUGAAGAGCCCACCCCAACAUGGGUGAUGGCUCAAGGGAGCUGCAUCUUGGUUCCCCACACAGCUUCAUAGAAUUCUACAAAAGUGUCUUUUCUCUCCUGGCAACUAUAUACUAUUUACAUAACUUAAAGGACAGACUUCCUGAAUCCUGUAACUUUUUUGAGCUUCCCAAGUCUCACAAAUGCUCUUAGUUUCCAUGGUGCUAGGAGCCUCUCUUCUUCCUCCCAGGAAGACGUACUUAUUCAAGGGAAGCAGCUACAAAGGAGCAUAUAGGCACAGGUUCCCAUUAGCUCCAUGGAAUGGCGAUAGGAAUAACUAAAUGAUGACUGCAAGCUAUUUUGUAAUUACAAACUGCUAAAUAAUAAAGGUUGGCUAAUUAUC
ensembl:lincRNA Gm12128 predicted gene 12128